UCCCGCAAGGUGCGAUGGCACUAAAAUUACAUCUGCCAGAUUUUCCACGAGUUUUCCUACACCAUGUUUCGAGCCCACCUUUUUCGAGAUCGGCCGCUUGAGCUCUUAUUGAGUUCUUAUUGAAGUUAGUAGUGCUGUUCAGCAGAAUCCCGAUCAUUCCGGAAAUACUUAUACGCAUCAGAGAGCUUCAAAGAUAAGAAAAAAAUUAAAGUGAUUUGACGCUGAGAGGGGGAGGGGCAAUGGUGGGGACAUAAAUGUGGAGAGGGUAAAAGAAGGGUGGUGGAAGAUCUAUAUAAGUAUUCCUCAACCGCCGAGAGAGUCAGUCUACAUUUUGCAGUCGCACGAUGGAAACUUUCAGGAGAAUAUUUGGCAUGCUAGACAACCGAUCUCUCCGAUACGCUGAGAGGGUUUCUUGGACGUGGAGAGGAAUUGCUGCCUUCGAACGGACACGCAGGAAAACACGCGACGCAAAAAGAACAAAACAUAAACUAACGCGGCGUUUACCUGUCCAAUUUUUCAAUGAGGCAUCUAUGACGUUUGAUGUGAACGAACGAAUUGGCUGUGCUGUUCAGCAGAAUCUCGAUCGUUCCCGCAAAUACUUACGCGCAUCGGACAACUUCAAAGAUAAGAAGAACAUCAAGAUGUAUAAAAGAAA